GAUGCCUUCUCAAAAGGGUUCCAUAAUUCCCUCAGCUUUAUUCGACUUAAAUAAUGCCCUACACUGACCCGAGAAUGCGACCGUCAACCAAACACCUCGAUCGUGGUGGGUUAACUUAAUUACGAUCGAACUCUGUCAAAUAUUUUUGAUCGCAGAGAACGUGCGAAGAAACUAUCAGAAAAUUGAGUUGCAUAUGAUCGAUCGUGACUUAUUCAUGGAAGAUUCAAACUCUGCUACGUAAGAGCCAUGUCAAUUUCAAAUUGAUGCUUAAUUUGUUCAAUUCACGCAAGGUGGGUGGCUAGUUCGUCGCUGACAAGGUCAGUUCAACCUAAAGCUAGCGAUGGCGCAGAUCAAUGGCGGUAGCCUCGAUGAUAUCAGCUCAUGACAAUUGAACUAUUGACUUUUCUUCAGAAUGCAGAUGGGAAGAGAAGAAGACUGACCGUAUUUGAGCGGGUUGAUGGCGAAAUCGAAGAUUUGGGAGUAGUAGUCGGCGUAUCGGAUGGAUAUGGCCGGAUUCUUUCGCCGGAGGUCGUCGAGGGUUCGCCGGAGCUGUGUGUUGUGCAGCCAGGAGAGGGCGUUGUAUCUGCGGGAGCAGCCGGUCCUGGGGCCGUAGUCUUGCGGGUCGGGCGUGUGGUAGUUGGACAGGUACAAGGGGAAGCACCCCACCGGCAGCAGCCCCGGCACGAUGAUGUCCGCCGCCCCGAGCCCGAUCAACCUCUGCUUGCGACCACAUUUUUUUCAGUUAAUUCUGAGCUUCUGUGGUCUAGAUGAUUAAUUCAAAUAUAAUUACCUCGACGCCGUCGGAAAUGGCGCGGACGACGUGAGGCACGAAGGUGGUGACUUCGUCAACGGACCUUCCGAAGAAGAGAGCAGUGCUGUAGUCGUUUCCCCCGAACUCGCCCACCACGAACAGAGACUUGCCCAGGAAAUCCUUGCAGUCUGCCGCCGGCCGUCGGCGUCGUCAUGAACGUCCGUAACCAUUAAUUAACUUCAGGGAGCUAGCUCAGAGUGAACAUCAAGCUGCAGAAUGAAGCUAACGGAGCACGCACCUUGUGUGGAGCCGCAGAUGGAGGGGAGGAGCUUCUCGAAGCGGUCGACCUGGAUGUAAAUGGAGGCGUUGACCCACAGGCCCUUGCUCAGCCCUCGCUCGUUGAAGAAGUCGAAGCCGAGCACGGUGGCCGCCACCCAGGCGAAGUUCGCGCCCUUGCUGAAAUUCGACUCCCUCUCGUUCGACGGCGGCAGCAAUGGAAAUCCCAGGUCCUGGGCUGCCAAAUUCCCAACACAUAUGCUAAUUAAUUAAUUAAUCAAGAGUAGCUAUAUCGACUUUCUCGAUCGUGCUGCGUGCGUACCGAUGAAGUCGAUGACUAAGCGUCCGUCGGAGCAGCGUCCGGUGGCGCGGCCGAAGAAGGUCAUUCCGUAGGGGAGGCGGCCGAUGCGGACGUUGCCGGUGUCGGACAUCGAGUCUCCGAAGUUGAACAAGGCGUUGUACUGAUGAGACGAGGAAGGAAGGAGGAAGGCGGAGAGGAGGAGGAGGAUGAAGAAGAAGAAGAGGGCGAGAUUCUCCAUUGUCGCAGAAGAGUCUUCCUCCUCGUCGUGGCUUGGAAACGCACUGUUUUAAAACCACAAGCAAUGGCGCGAUUGGACCCGGCAAAAGCCACAUGGUGCAUCAUUUCUCGCGUCAACCACUGUUCUAUCAAUUUAAAUAUUCAUUUUUUAAAUAUCAAAUCUGAGAUGACUUAUUGUCCUAUUAAAAUUUUUCAUGGAUAAAUAAGGCAGGCACUAUUAGUAAUUAAUGGCAGGAAUAGGAUUCAAAUUUUACCUGGCCACAGUUGACUUCCA